UAGGGAAUCUUCGGCAAUGGGGGGAACCCUGACCGAGCAACGCCGCGUGAGUGAAGAAGGUUUUCGGAUCGUAAAGCUCUGUUGUUAAGGAAGAACGAGUGUGAGAAUGGAAAGUUCAUACUGUGACGGUACUUAACCAGAAAGGGACGGCUAACUACGUGCCAGCAGCCGCGGUAAUACGUAGGUCCCGAGCGUUGUCCGGAUUUAUUGGACGUAAAGCGAGCGCAGGCGGUUAGAUAAGUCUGAAGUUAAAGGCAGUGGCUCAACCAUUGUAGGCUUUGGAAACUGUUUAACUUGAGUGCAGAAGGGGAGAGUGGAAUUCCAUGUGUAACGGUGAAAUGCGUAGAUAUAUGGAGGAACACCGGUGGCGAAAGCGGCUCUCUGGUCUGUAACUGACGCUGAGGCUCGCAAGCGUGGGGAGCGAACAGG
rnacentral:rRNA from 1 species